rnacentral:lncRNA from 1 species
GCUGAAAUAGGGACGCCAGUGGCGUCGGUGGCACGAUUUGCCCAGCUUUCUAAGGAGGCGGAACUGGACAGAGCUCCUGGACCAGGCAAAUAGGAGCAAAGUUUUCGAGCUUCAUCCCAAGAACAUGAAAAGCUAAAGAGCAGAGACCUUCAUCACUACCACCCUCUGCAUGCUCACAAGGACAUGGGCACCAGCACUUGCAGCAGCCUCCCCCUCAUAGUAUCCAGGAUAUUCUCAGUUCUGCCUCCCCAGCUUCCUGGAUGCUUCACAUUUUACAUGGAUCUCAACCAGGAGCAACCACAAAACAGCCAGCCCUUUCUGGUAUCUUGACACUGGAUUGUGGGCUGCAGAAGUGAGGCCCUGGUAUGAAGCUGGCAGGGAGCAUGGAGGGACAGAAGCCUAAAUGAUCUGUGUCCAGAUGCUGCAGACCCGCUUCCCCUCCUCCCCAAACAUAACAAACCCUGUACGUCCAACCUUU